rnacentral:lncRNA from 1 species
CCUAUUACAAUCUAUGAGAAUAAUAUUUUUACCUCCCAAAAACUAGGCGUUGCUAUAGGGUAAAAAUGUUGUAGUGGAAGAUUGUCAGUAUGAUCAUUAAUUUCAUAUAUGCAAGCACAUAGAUCCACAUGCUCACUAAUCUUUUAUAUAUAUAAUAGUAGUAAAUAAAAGUAAAAUGACAGAACAAUUAAAAUACCACAACCUCAAGAAAAGCUAGACUACGUUAUAUCAGAACAAAACUGAAAGAGUAAAGCAAUUUCAAUUGGACAAAGUUAUGUAGUCCCCUCCAUCCAUAUUGUUCUACAUGAAGUAAAACAAUCAAAAAAUUUCAAUUAUCAUAUUGCUUUCUCUCCAAAGGAUUAACCUUUAAACAUGAUUGUCUACUUUUGUCUUUGCCUUUAAUCUAAACCUAAUGCUGACAUGUUUGUGUUGACAAUUACACAAGUUAAGGAUCAUCAAAUAAAUACAAGGAACACCAAAUAUAUGAAAUGUUUUUACUACACUUAGUUAAAUUCUUAGUUACUUUUAAAAACAUAUGUUCUCUAGUAUACAUAUUUUUAUAUCAUUGUCUAAAGUGUCUAUUUUACUCUAUGUUAUGUAAUUCCGCAAAUAGUGGCAUGCCCUUCCUAUAAAAUAUAUGUUAAUAUAUCUGACUAUGUUCCUUGAUGCAAAUUCUGUUAAGCUUUUCAACCAUUUCCAGCAACUAAUUCGCACAAGACCAAAGAGUUGUUGAUGCCUACGGAAGGUCGAAACAACUCUGAGAUAGGUCGUAGUUGACCGAAAUGGCUGUGUGAAUAGCCUGAAGCAGACCAAAACAACUUUGUCGAUAGGCCCACCAUACCGAAAAAACUCUUGGCACUAGAACAAACCAGAAACAACAAACUUGAGCGGUUACUGCAAAUGAAAAACUGCAUAGCACACCCACCUUGACUAUACUUUACGAAAUCAGACUUCGACAUAAAACGAAUACUAAAUUGCAUAUUUUAUUCAUAUGAAUAACAUAUGUAAACAUGAACAUUACACAAGAUGCAUGGAUACAAAAUUAAACAAUACACUCUAACUCACUCCACUAUUUAUCAGUAAUUCUACAUAAAGAAGGCUAGGGAGACUGAUGAUGAAUACAUUGCUACUAACAAAUUGGGCAACACUUAUCACCUUUUAAAAUUAAUGAGGGAAUGUGGGCAUUAGCUAAAAGAGAAAACCUAUCACCCACUUCUUGAGUGUCUAAUUGACAUGGGCCUUGUUCAAGAAUUUUAACUUUUCUAUGAUGUUAUCCAAGCAGGUAAUCCCAGUUCAAUUUCACAAUUGGGUUACUAUGAAAUGUUGCUUUGGAUAAGGGUUAAAAAUGAAGAAAUGAUAUGGGAUAUAUGUGAAUACAUUACAGUCGAAGAGAGUAUAAACACUACUUCUUUAUGAGGUAGAUGAAUUUGUUUCUCAUAUCAGUUCAUUUUUUGCAUUUGUUUCAUUGAACUUAUAUCUGAGCAUCUAGUGCAUAGGUUUAGCAGUAACAUUAACAUGUGAGAAUUCCAAAUGUUCCUAUAUUUUUUGGACACCUAUUCAUGAUGGAUAGAUUAGUCUUCAUUUUAUGUGUUACCCAUAUAGCAUUUAGUGGGUAAACUGAAAGACAGGUUCUAAAGGGUAGAUAAAUACAUCAAAUACAAGAGUUUUAUGGCAUUAUACUGUAUUUAACAUUUUCUUCUUUUAUUUGACGUCUGAACACCUAGACUCUGCAAUAGACUAUAACAGAGUAUAUACUAUAAUUUUGAGUUUAAACAAAUCAAGGACAGAGAGACUCAAAAUAUAUUACACAAGGAACACAUUUAUCAAGUAAGUUCAUAUCACAAAUCUUAAAAUAAAAUACAUAUAAUAGCUAAUACAAACAAUGUCAAGUUAUGUACAGAUAUAAUUAGCCAGGAGCAUGCGAUAAUAUGUUGUGAGAUUCAACAAUUUCUCACAUUUUUACCAGGAUGAAUCAAAAACUCGUAUACCGAUAGUAUCAUGUACGCAAGUUGCGACCUACGAAAAAGAAAGGGUAAGAUUUGCAUGCAGAGAAAAGAUAAAGUUGAAGCAGAGCAUGUACAAACAUACACAAGUUGAAUCAGAGCUCGUAGGUGAAAGAAGCUCUUAAUGGGGUGACGAAUCCUACACGAGAGAAGAAGGAGAAGCUUGUGACGUGAAAAAAUGUUAGGGUUAGGUGUUGCAGAAGCUCGGAAGAAGAAGAAUGGGUUAAGGUUACUUUUGGAAUGAAGAAAGAGUUAGGGUUACUGAAUCUCUCGGUUCUCUCUUUCUUUUGCUUUACAAAUAUCUCAAUAAAUUGGAGUGAAGUCUCUUUUUCUCUGUCUCUAUGCAACAAUCACCAAUCAAGAAUUAAACUAUAUUCCCUAUUUUCGUGAUUCGGGAGGGAAAUGAAAAUUCAGAAAUGCGCUCAUUGAAAUUUUAGAAAGGGAACGAUGAAAUUUGAAGCAGUAAAUGAAAAAAUAAUAAUUUAAUGGUGACCAGUUGGAUUCCCG